rnacentral:rRNA from 1 species
ACUCCUACGGGAGGCAGCAGUGGGGAAUAUUGCACAAUGGGCGCAAGCCUGAUGCAGCCAUGCCGCGUGUGUGAAGAAGGCCUUCGGGUUGUAAAGCACUUUCAGUCGUGAGGAAGGUAGUGUAGUUAAUAGCUGCAUUAUUUGACGUUAGCGACAGAAGAAGCACCGGCUAACUCCGUGCCAGCAGCCGCGGUAAUACGGAGGGUGCGAGCGUUAAUCGGAAUUACUGGGCGUAAAGCGCAUGCAGGUGGUUGUUAAGUCAGAUGUGAAAGCCCGGGGCUCAACCUCGGAAUAGCAUUUGAAACUGGCAGACUAGAGUACUGUAGAGGGGGUAGAAUUUCAGGUGUAGCGGUGAAAUGCGUAGAGAUCUGAAGG